rnacentral:tRNA from 1 species
CGAGAAUGUCUACGGUUCGAAUCCGUA